ensembl:lncRNA
UCUGGUUUAUUAUUUUGAGUCUUUUGGAACCCGGUAACACGCGGUCCUCUUACAAUCUAUUGCUUUACAGAAAAAUGACUUUUGCCACUCAGAAAUGUUCACACAAUCCUGCUGCACGCAUCAGAAAUUCCGAGCUCCCAACUGAACCGCGCUCUGGCCCACCUCUUCCAACUGAGCCAGGGACGCUAAACGAACCGCACCUGAGAACGGCACGGAGCAAUCACACUAGUCAAACGAACCAGUCUUUGGGGGUCAAACGUGCUCAGGCAAGGUUCAAACUGCCUAGUUUGAUUCUGGGCAUUAUAUUCUGUGAAGUACAUAGAGAAUGUGAGAAAUAAAAAAGGUCUGAUCCUGAUUGUUAUUGUUUUUUUAAUACAUUAAUAAAAAAUAAAUUAACAUAUAAAGAUUAUAUUUUUCAGGGCUAGACAUGAAUGCAUGUUUCUAACAAAAGUGAAUGUUUUGGAUGGGCAAGUGAGAAAGUGUUGAUAAUUUCUGAAAUCAGCAUCCGACAGAAAAAUCAUUCAUUUGUUUCACUUAAUUGUUUUUUGCACACGUGCAGUGCGAUUUUCUAUCGAAUGCCAAAGUCGGAAGUCAUAAUUUUGGUACAUAAAAAAGCAAUAAAGUGGCUGGCUGGCAGCAGGCCAGUAUAGUCUGGUGUUCCCGGUGUGACGAGUGGGGCAGGACCGAGAGCCGUGGGAGCGGAGUGAGGCCGGUGGAGUAAAUGAUAAUGUGUGACACCUGCGCCACUCACCGGUCUCGAGUCCCAUGAAGGAGCUCUGGAAGGAUAAAAGUAGUAAUGACAGUGAAAGACGAAAGAGGACCAGGCCUGGAUUUUAUGUUGUUUUUGGGGCCCCGUCACGGCAGCCACAGAACCUGGGGGUAAAAAUAGUGUGCUUGCUUACGAUUAUUAGGGUAAUCUGCAGGAAGUGGAAAAAGACAAUAAAGUGUGAGUUUAUCUGUCCGUCGUGUGUUCAUUCAGAUAAGAAUAAAAUUGUUCUUAAGAAUAUAUUUGAGAACUUAUUAAGAGUUUUUCAAGAAUUACACUUAAGAACAUUUUUACGAACUUUGUGGAAUUUAUCUUAA